GUCCACACCACACAGUAGUCAGGCUGGCUGACUACUGCCAAGGUCCCUGCACUACUCAGUCCUUGUGAAUCUGCCCAGCAGCAACGAUGCCAGGAGAUCUAGGCUUCCUCUCCGUGGAGCUGUGCAGCCCACCCACCGCACCCUGAGCCACCAGCUUCGAGGGGAGGGAGCCCCCUCCCAUGCCUGUCCAAACUGCCUGACUCGUGAUCCUCUCAGCACACUUCCUUCCACUGUCCCCGCACUGGCAGCAUUCAGCGCAGUGCCUGGCACGUUAACAGGCACCGAAUCAAAACGCCAGCUGGCUGACGGAGACGUGUAGAUGAUAGCGCCUGCUUUAAGAUACAUCCACUCACCACAGCGUAUUAACCAGCAAGGCUUUUUCUCUCUCGAAGCACAUGGGGCAGAGCCCGUGCCAGCUGCCAUCCUGGGACCCCAAAACAAGCAGACACUGAUGCGUUCUACUCACUGGACAAUUCCCUGAGCAUCCACAUCUGCUUCAAAGGAGAGAAAUGAUUGCCACAGCAGAACAAGAGAAAAUUCCAGUUUUCUACAGAAGCUAUGAGCGGCCUGCCAACAUCUGGGGCCACAGCACCCAGCCUGCGAGGCCGGAGCCCUUGUGCAC